GCUGCCUCGUCUCAGAUCUCAAGCUGUCAAGACGCGCGCUUCAGCUUCACCGCUCGCUCUCGAGGUCUCACACUCUAGCUCUUGCCCGGCCGGCCGUCCGCCGGCGCCCUCGCAGAGCCGCCAGCCCUGCCACCAAGAUGGAUUCAGGCAUCCAGCGCGAAGCAGCAACCCCCCCCCCCCCGGGAUCCAUGCAUCUGUGCCGCCAGGAUGGACAUUGAUGCUGAGAAGUUGUCGGGAUUGUCGGUGCUUUCUCCAGGUGGCUGCCGAGUGCCGAGCUGCUGGACGACGGGCUGCCGGAGGCGAAGGAGGCUGCCCGCCGCAGCGUGGUGGCCUGGUGGGGCCGAUGCAUCGCCUUCGCCAAGGAGGCUGCGGCGGCGCGGGGAGAGGAGGACGCCGGACGCCCCCGCGUGCCGCGUCCGCGGUCUGACGGCGCCGAGCCAGAUCGAGCUAAACGUGCUAGCUCGCGAGCCGAGCCGAACAUUUAGCUCGUUAGCAUAAACGAGCCAACUCGUUAUGCUAAUGAGCUGCACCGACCCCGCUCGUUAUCCAGCCCUGCCCGGUGGAACUAGGCAGCACAGUGAGCAAGUCAAGGAUUAGGACCUUAGGGGCGGGAUUAGGCUGCCGAUGGUAGGAAUUUGGGCAGGUCCAUACCCAAGAUGGAGUAAAUCAAACUGAAAAUCUCAAGUCUGAAUGAAGUGUUCAUGUAGGCAUGCCUUGGUAAUUGAAAUUUCUUCUUGGAUCCUCGUUCAAGGACCCUGUACCAUAUAAUCCCAAAAAUGGAAUUGUUGAGGCUGGAGGAAAUAACUCAGUUGUAGUAGUAAAGCGACUACAAGUGUUCUAUUGCCAUUUGUUUGGCCACUUAGUUGCCUUUUAGUUGAUAGAGUUUGUAUUUCCAAUCUUGAGCAUACCUGCAAAUAGUUUGAGCAGUUCUGCUGAUAUUUGUGACGUUUUCUUUUCUAUGAUUGCUAGAGCUGGAAACAUACAGGGAUUCUUUUGAAUGCAGAUACUAUGAAACAUCCUAUUUCUUCUUUAGUUUCUAGUUAGCAGCAGAGCUUUCGACUAUGCUCCAUUUAAUGUGACAUCUUUAGGUUAAAUCACUGAAUUUACACAAUAAGAGCUGCCUGAAGACUGGUUAGGUAACUCUUAAAAGAAUUGUCAGUGCACGCCCUGCACCUAAAAUUUGACAUCUUUAGGUUAAACUACUGGAUCUCCUUUUCUUUCCAUCUUAUAUCCACUAUUGAUUUCUCAAUCGGAGAAGUUUACAUAGGCCCUGUUUGGAUCCAUGGGAUAUUUUUUAUCUCCCCACUUUUUAGCUCCAAAUAGCCUAAAGGAAUCCAAACAUGGCGGCUAUUCUAAGGAUAUUUGCAAAUAGCCCACACCAAAAAAACUAUCCACUCAAGGGCGAUAUUUGGGCUAUUUGGGUGGGCCCACUGGAAAAGUUAAUACUCUCUCUCCCCCACCCGCGCCGCCACCUCGCCCACCCGCCAGCGCCGCUGCCUGCCCCCACCUACGCCGCCGCCUCCCUUCCGCAGAUCCGGCUCCCAUCCGCGCUGCUUCCUGCCGGAGGACUCGAUCGGACUUCGAUUUCGUGUCCAUGGAUGGUGGCGGCUACGAUUUCUUCUCCUAGGAGCCCAUGUCAUCCGCCCGCAUGGAGCCCUUGGACCUCAACUCACAGGCGCCGCCGGCCGGGGAGUUCCCUCAUCUGCAAGACUACGACGCCUACCUCCAGGGCGACGGCGAGGAAGGCACUGGCCACGGCCGGGGCUCUGGUCUCUGUCUCCCUCGCGCACAGCGCUCUCUGGGAGUGCCGAACCAAUGUGCCAGAGGAGGGCGGGCUGGCCGGCUCGAGGUGCACUACACGGCCGCCAACUGAACUUCGGGCUGGAUUUGUAGGCUUGAUGGAGGGUGGCGGAGCAGUGUAGGGCGCCCACAGACGCGACCACACAAAGGGCAACUGCGCAGCAAGCAUCCUAGAUCCAGCAGCAAGAGAGAGGUAAUGGGGCUCCAAGAUUGGGUAAGUGCAAUAAAGGCCAAAUAGCUCUUGGAUCCAAACAGCUCAAGGGUUAUUUCAUUGGAUGAUUGGAGGGCUAUUUACUUGGACUAAACAAUAGCCCAAAAAAUAUCCCUUGGCUACUUCUCCAAACAGGACCAUAGUAUAGCAGUGCAAAGAAUUGUAGGUGUGUGUGACCAUAUGAGAGGUAGUGAGGGGCCAAUACACUGAUUUACUCAAAUCAUGAUCAUGCUGUGCUUCCAUAAGUAGUAGAGGCAGUCGAGGACAGCAAAACCAACUUGCAUUGAGAUAUCAUUGAGAAAGAGCACUUGCUUUUGUAAAUUCACCCAUUCCUAUCAAGCUCUACACAUUGUCUUAUUCUUUUGUUUGAAUCUGGACUUGUUUUGAAUUCUGAUGCCGUGAUUGCCCGUGAUAGAAAUGGAGUGGUAAUGAUAGCGAAUGUCACCUAAACUUUUUUAUAUUUUUCUUAAGGAUUGUCUAUCAUUUGAAAUUGGAUUGUUGUACUUUUCAGUAAUGAAUAAGUGUCUUGUAUUCCAUCAAAAAAUUAAUGCCCUGUAGUUAUAUCCAUUCUGUUACAUAAUGCACUCAUUAUUUAUCACAAAUAAUAACAAAAUUCAGUUUGACAAUAUUGCAAUAUGAAAAUAAUAAAGAGUGGGAACUAAUUUGUGGUGGCGUGGGUUUACAAAGUUAGUUAUAGCCAACGAGUAUAACAAUAUUUUGCAGUCCCUCAAACUGAAUUUGCUUCUAGUUUGUGGGAACUUCUAAAGUCUUUUUAGCCUGAAAGUUUUAGAUCUCUUAUAAAAGGAAGAACAUAAAAAGAUAAUGUGUACUAAAAUUGUCACUUGGAGUCUGAGUUAGGCUUUACUUUCUUGCAAAGUAGCUGUUUCUUUAAGCAAAGGCAACACUAGAAAGGAGGGAGGAAGAUAGAGUAAAAUAAAAGUCAGGAGGGGACAACAAACUGCUGAAACAGGGAACAGUACAUCAGUACCAUACAACUAGGACUUCUGUACGAUGCUAAUUACUAUUACACAUUCGCAGACUCGCAACCCUACACCUUCAUAACACCGAGGUAUCUGGCAAUGGAAGCCAGAGAGCCAAAAUUUUGGGGACAAUUCUACGUACCUAGUCCCCAUCAUACAGACUGCCUGCAGUUCAGCAAGUGCUCCCUAUUCUUGUUCUCCUUUGCCCACAUUGCUGUUGUCAUCAUCGCCGACUUGGAAUAGAUCAAGGCGGCUGUGGCUCAGGCGGAGCGAGUACAUUGUCUUCUUGUACUCGGCCCAGGUGAAGGGUCGGUACUGGCAUGGUGAGUCGGCUGUGAUCAUCUCUGGGAGGGCCAAAAUUCGUGCAUGCAAUGGUGGUGCUGCAAAGUAGAUCGUGGACAGCCUUGGCCUGCAAGCGUUUGCAAUUACCCUAUGCCGGACACUUACCAACUUCCCAUUUGUCAGAGCCUGGGAACAAGAAAGACAAAGGAGAGAUGAAUUCAAAACAAGUUUCAGAGAUGCAAUAUUGUACUGCUGCGCUAUGGAUUAGUAAUUGUCAUUAUUAGAUUUAGAUGUAAUAAAAAGAUGAAAACAGAAACUCUUGUCAGCUGGUAAGAUGUAUUUGAUGCACUCCAACAAAAUAUGGCCAGAAAUAUCAGUGUCAGCUCAUCUUUCAUAAAAGAGGCAAUAGCUAACAUGGUGUCUAAACCUGAAUCAAAUAAAGAUGAAUUUCCUUUCCAUGCUUUUCAGUAACUAAAGAAUCUAUUUUUAUGAAACACUGAAACAGAAGUUGCAUAUUGUAAUUUUAUAUGUGAGUACUAAUGAUUGGGUGCUGACUGAGCAGGGCCUUAUCUCUUUGCUUGUUUUAGUGCCUGCUAAUUUAAUUUUCGAAAUAGUUCAUAAAAGCAGUUUUCUUUAAGUUAAUUGAUCUCAUACUGUUUGUUUUUAAGGUAAAUUCGUGCCUUUACCUGGAGGAGGUCACCAACAUUGACGAAGAAUGCUGAUGGGUCGGCUGGCACCUGAACCCACACCUCCUUGCCGUCGCUGUUUGGUAGAAGCACCUGCAGGCCAUUGACGUCGUUUGCUCGGAGCAAGCUAAUGAUCUGCGGGUCAGAGUGCUCACCGAACCCAAUCCGAGCACCUGCUGACGGGUUCAGACCAUUGCCAUUCUUGGUCCUGACAAUGCUCUUCAUCUUGCACUGGUCGUCAUGGUCAAGCUUGUGAAUGGUGCACGCUGGAGGGUAGUGGUUUAUCCUCAGGAGUGAGUCACUGUCAGUGUCCGUGAUGAGCUUGCUGAAGGAUCUGGGGUCCUUGGGCCCUAGCCCCUCUCCUAACAGGUCCAGGAUCUCACAUGCAAGCUGCCUCACUGCUCCCACAUAAUCGUUCACCACAGUACUGCAAUGACAUCAUCAGCAUGUGAGCUAAAAUGUGCACAGGAUUAAUUUGACCAAAAGAAUGCAGUUAUCUCGAAGAUCAAUUGGGUGUGUGCCAUGACAGAGAAAAAGGAGACUGAAGAAAGAUGAGAUGAUUUUGACUGAUUGAUGUGUGAAGAUGCAGCAACUCAAAAGCUGCAGCCUUGAAAAGACGGUAGCUUGAUGCUACGGAUGUAUCUGGGCUGUGCAGCAGAACCAGAAUCCAGUCAGAUGCUAUACAUAUUCGGUUCUUGUGAUGCAUGCAUAGCUCUGGAUCAGAAGUACAAACUUUGGGUGACCAAUUUUCCAAUGGGCAAAUGGGUUUUCGACAGGAUUGGGCAUGCUUUUUUCCACUGCUCCAUGGAUAGACCUAUCAGUGCUUGGUAUCACACAUCACUGCCCUGACACUACACACCCCCUGGGACAUCUCGUUCGUCUUGCCAUAAAGAGGAGCCUUUGCAUGUGUGCCUCCUUUCCUUUGCUUGGCUUUAUAUAGAUAGCAUGGAUAUGCUCUUUAGGAGGCCUGGGGAUCAUUUUUAUUCAUAUCAAGUUUCUGUACUUCUCUGUGGGGCCCUACUUGCUAUUACCUGUGUUCCAUGCAAUAUGGUUACUGCGAAGAUUCUGAUGCCAUAUCUAUCCUAUUCUUGCAGAUAGCAUUCUUACACUAGUUCAGGUGGUUAAGGAAUCAAUUCAAAUACAAUUGUUUCCAACUGCUGCGCCUAAGAUUAGAUUCUGGUGUGAUCAGGGCAGUUAAAAUGUUCUACUGCUUUCUAGCUGCCAUAUCAUGAACUUGGAAUAUUGACAAUAUAUUAAUGAUGCAUGCCUAGUUGAUAUAGAACAAAGGGAAUUCAUUUCAAUAUUUAUAUACGAUGUAUAUCAUGUGGCCACCUAAACACAUCAUUUUCUAUAUGCUUUGCUGAAUAAGCUGUUUGAGCUAUCCAA